CGGCAAUCGGCAGCUGCAGAGUAGCAAAGCAGGGAGCCCGGAGAGCGCCUCCCUGCUUUGCAGAGGCGCCUCUCUCAUGUUUGGGGGGAGCGAGCUGCCCCCUUGCCCCCCCUAUUCCGACGCCCCUGCAUACACACAACACACUUGGAACAUACCCAGCAGCCAGCCAUCAGGCAUAUGUCCGUCCUCAAAUUUAUCAAAGAGGGAUGACUGACUGAGGAUGAAGGAGUCAUGGCAGCCGCCAGGGUAACCCGCAACCACACUCAUAAUUUUUAGAUUUGCAUCACAAACCACCUGGACAUUAGUUGAUUGGCUAGAAUGCCGAUUGGUAAAGACAUAUUGCCUGCCCCUAGGUGGUCUCAGCUCAACGUGUGUGCAAUCUAUGGCACCCAGCACAUUGGGCAUGCCAGCAAGCUCAUAGAAAGCUACCCUGACUGCAUGCCACUGCGACUCCUGGGUAGGGAAGCAGAUAGAGGCAUCUAUAUGGGGUUCCAAGACAUCCAAAACCUGAGUGGACAUUAAUAAAUAUAAGCACUAUGGCCCCGAGAUGGAUGAUCACACUGUGGGAGACGAUAACUGCCUGCUGUCCAUGCAGAAGAUACCGGAGCUGGAAUGCUCAGAGAAGAGAUGCCCACUUGCCUCGCCAUACCAGGCUUGAGGAAGAAAUGCCUCCAACCAAGCCAGUGGGUUAUGAUCACUCUGAUGGCAGUUUAUCCAAAAAACUAUCUCCCAGUGAGAAGAACAAGGAUCGCCAGAUUAAAGUCCUCGAUCUCAUUAACAAACAGUUAGUCGAGGAGAACAACUUGUUAGCGGCAGAAAACACCUUAUUAAAACUGAAGGUUGAAAUGCUUAAAGACACGCUAACGAAGGUCAUAGAGCUGCUGUAGGCCCCUGUCUAACUCCGCCGCUGUUACGGAGGCUCACCCAGUAGCUGACCAGUAACCAUGGAUUCUUAUCUUUAUGCACUCACCUAUUAGAGCAGGGGGAAAUAUGCACUGAGAGGUUUCUGUAAUCUUCUAAUCGUAAAGGAGCGACCUUUCUUUUUUGAAGUCUGCAUAAAUCUGUCAGUGUGUAUUUUCCACCUUUUCUCACCUUCUCUAAUAGGUAAGUACAUAAAAACAGUGAUCCAUGGCCAACAUCUACUGGUUACAGCUUACUGUGGUUAUACCUGGUAGUUAAUCUUUACAUCAUUAAAGAGCCAGAGCAAAGA